GCUAAAGCUUCAUCUCACAAAAUUUUUGAGCUUCAUCUCAAUCGUGCCAAGGCUAAAGCUUCAUCUCCCAGGAGAAAGAGAGAGAAGCAGUUUUGGUUUACAAGGCUGCAUAGUUUCUGACGGUAGAGACUAGAGCAGACCUUGAACGCCUCCGUAUCUGCGUUUCUCUUCGCUCAGAUCCCAGGAAAAAGAGAAUAUGCCAAGAACGACCCGAAUGGCAGUAAGACACUAAACAUACUUGAAGCAGUUCAGAAACUUUGCAGAGACAGUGGAGUCCACUAGUAUAUUUAGUGUAGUAGAUUGAUGUCAAAGUAUGGGAUUUGGCUGUCAAUAUAAACUUGUAGUUAUAUGGAUCUUGUCUUGGAAUAAGACUGCUUUUAAUUAUAUAUGAAAGUCAGUCCUUAAGUUAGCUCUA